AGAGUUUGAUCCUGGCUCAGAGCGAACGCUGGCGGCAGGCCUAACACAUGCAAGUCGAACGGAUCCUUCGGGAUUAGUGGCGGACGGGUGAGUAACACGUGGGAACGUGCCCUUUGGUUCGGAACAACUCAGGGAAACUUGAGCUAAUACCGGAUGUGCCCUUCGGGGGAAAGAUUUAUCGCCAUUGGAGCGGCCCGCGUCUGAUUAGCUAGUUGGUGAGGUAAAGGCUCACCAAGGCUACGAUCAGUAGCUGGUCUGAGAGGAUGAUCAGCCACAUUGGGACUGAGACACGGCCCAGACUCCUACGGGAGGCAGCAGUAGGGAAUCUUGCGCAAUGGGCGAAAGCCUGACGCAGCCAUGCCGCGUGAAUGAUGAAGGUCUUAGGAUUGUAAAAUUCUUUCACCGGGGACGAUAAUGACGGUACCCGGAGAAGAAGCCCCGGCUAACUUCGUGCCAGCAGCCGCGGUAAUACGAAGGGGGCUAGCGUUGCUCGGAAUUACUGGGCGUAAAGGGAGCGUAGGCGGACUGUUAAGUUAGAGGUGAAAGCCCAGGGCUCAACCUUGGAAUUGCCUUUGAUACUGGCAGUCUUGAGUACGGAAGAGGUAUGUGGAACUCCGAGUGUAGAGGUGAAAUUCGUAGAUAUUCGGAAGAACACCAGUGGCGAAGGCGACAUACUGGUCCGUUACUGACGCUGAGGCUCGAAAGCGUGGGGAGCAAACAGGAUUAGAUACCCUGGUAGUCCACGCCGUAAACGAUGAGUGCUAGUUGUCGGCAUGCAUGCAUGUCGGUGACG
rnacentral:rRNA from 1 species